rnacentral:rRNA from 1 species
AUGAACGCUGGCGGCGUGCCUAAUACAUGCAAGUCGAGCGAACGGACGAGAAGCUUGCUUUUCUGAUGUUAACGGCGGACGGGUGAGUAACACGUGGAUAACCUACCUAUAAGACUGGGAUAACUUCGGGAAACCGGAGCUAAUACCGGAUAAUAUUUUGAACCGCAUGGUUCAAAAGUGAAAGACGGUCUUGCUGUCACUUAUAGAUGGAUCCGCGCUGCAUUAGCUAGUUGGUAAGGUAACGGCUUACCAAGGCAACGAUGCAUAGCCGACCUGAGAGGGUGAUCGGCCACACUGGAACUGAGACACGGUCCAGACUCCUACGGGAGGCAGCAGUAGGGAAUCUUCCGCAAAGGGCGAAAGCCUGACGGAGCAACGCCGCGUGAGUGAUGAAGGUCUUCGGAUCGUAAAACUCUGUUAUUAGGGAAGAACAUAUGUGUAAGUAACUGUGCACAUCUUGACGGUACCUAAUCAGAAAGCCACGGCUAACUACGUG